AAAUGACAUAUGAUGUGGAGCAUCUUUUUAUAUGUUUGCAAUAUAUUUUUUAUUAUCUUUUGUUUAAAAUAUGUCAUAAACAUUUUAAGAGGCAGGGUGUUGUGGCUCAUGCCUGUAAUACUGCAAUUUGGGAGGCCAAGGCAGGAGGAUCUCUUGAGAUCACUAGUUCAAGACCAGCCUGGGCAAGAGAGCAAGACUCCGUCUACACAAAAAUUUAAAAAAUUAGCCAUGUACGGUGGUGUUUACUUGUAGUCUCAGCAACAUGGGAGGCUGAGGCAGGAGGAUCACUUGAGACUAGGAGGUUGAGGCUGAAGUGGGCUGUGAUCACACCACUGCAUUCAAGCCUGGGUGAUAGAGACCCUGUCUCUAGAAGAAAACAAAAAGAUCUAGAAGUAUUCAUAUAUUAAAUCUUUGGAAAGAGCAGGGCUAAACUAAUGUCCUAGAACAGGGGUCCCCAACCCCUGGGCCAUGGACCACUACCAGUCUGUUAGGAACCGGGCCACGUAGCAGGAGGUGAGCAGCAGGUGAGCAAGUGAAGCUUCAUCUGUGUUUAGAGCCACUCCCAUCACUCCCAUUACUGCCUGAUCUCCACCUCCUGUCAGAUCAUCAGCAGCAUUAGAUUAUCACGGGAGCACAAAUCUGCUGUGAACCGUGCAUGCGAGGGAUCUAGGUUGUGUGCUACUUGUGAGAAUCUAAUGCUUAAUGAUCUGUCACUGUCUCCCAUCAGCCCCAGAUGGGACCAUCUAGUUGCAGGAAAACCACCUCAGGGCUCCCACGGACUCUACCUUAUGGUUUUCCAGUUAAUAUGUGGACCAAAAAAGCACAACUGGACCAAUAUAUAAAAUAAACACACUCCUUUACUACAACAAUUCGGGAAACUAAAUUUUCAAUGAUGGAAGGAAUGGUUAUAUGGUUAAAACCAAAUGCUAAUGUUGGAUACUUUUAUUAAUUCAAUAAAUGAAUAUUCAUUUAUUUAUUUACUGAGCUCCUACUGUGUGCCAUGCACUAUUCUUGGUUCUUGACAUACUUCUAUGAACAAAGAAAUAUAGAGUUUACUUUCUAAUGUGGAUGAGAGGAAGGUAUAAACAACCAAACAACUAAGGAAAUACUUUCAUACUAUGUCGGGGGUGAAUUGAACUAAUAGAAAUUAAAGCAGAAUAAGAGGAUAGAGUGGCAUGGAAAGAUACAAUGUAACAGUAUGCAAAAAGCAAUGCACAACUUGGCCCGGAGAAGAAAAUUUCCAGACAAAUUAUAUAGAUAAGCCUUUCCUGAUGAUUAUAUUAUUUUUCCAGUCUUUUCCUGUGAUAGUAAAUUUUAUAUGUUAACUUGCCUAGGCUAAUGGAUGCCUAGAUGGCUGGUAAAAUAUCAUUUCUGGCUAUGUCUAUGAGGGUAUUUCAGCAUGAGAUGAGCAUUUAUUUGAAUUGGUGCAUGAGUAAAGCAUAUGGCCCUUCAUUUGCCCAAAUGUAAGUUUACAUCAUCCAAAUCAUUCAGGACUUGAAAAUGACUAAAAGACAAAAUAAGGUUAAAUUCACUCUCUG
rnacentral:lncRNA from 1 species